rnacentral:rRNA from 1 species
UACGUACUGUGCGAACGUUAUUCGGAAUCACUGGGCUUAAAGGGUGUGUAGGCGGCCGUUUAAGUAGGGUGUGAAAGGCCUCGGCCUAACCGAGGCAUUGCGCUCUAAACUGAUCGGCUUGAGUAAGAUAGGGGUGUGCGGAACUUCCAGUGGAGCGGUGAAAUGUGUUGAUAUUGGAAGGAACGCCGGUGGCGAAAGCGGCACACUGGGUCUUAACUGACGCUGAGACACGAAAGCCAGGGGAGCGAACGGG